CAGGACGAACGCUGGCGGCGUGCCUAAUACAUGCAAGUGGAACGCAUGAUUGAUACCGUAGCUUGCUACACCAUUAAUCAUGAGUCGCGAACGGGUGAGUAACGCGUAGGUAACCUGCCUACUAGCGGGGGAUAACUAUUGGAAACGAUAGCUAAUACCGCAUAAGAGUUUUUAACACAUGUUAGAAAUUUAAAGGAGCAAAUGCUUCACUAGUAGAUGGACCUGCGUUGUAUUAGCUAGUUGGUAAGGUAACGGCUUACCAAGGCGACGAUACAUAGCCGACCUGAGAGGGUGAUCGGCCACACUGGGACUGAGACACGGCCCAGACUCCUACGGGAGGCAGCAGUAGGGAAUCUUCGGCAAUGGGGGGAACCCUGACCGAGCAACGCCGCGUGAGUGAAAGAAGGUUUUCGGAUCGUAAAGCUCUGUUGUAAGAGAAGAACGUUGAGUAGAGUGGAAAGUUACUCAAGUGACGGUAUCUUACCAGAAAGGGACGGCUAACUACGUGCCAGCAGCUGC
rnacentral:rRNA from 1 species